GUCACUUUUGAUCAAUUUAAUGCGUUCUGAAUGAAUAAAAGUAUUAAUUUCUUGUGGAAACUGUGAGGCACUGCAAGUAUUAAGCAGCACGAAUGUUUUCAACAUUGAUAAUAAGAAAUAAAUAAAUUUCACAUGCACCAUAUCAGCAUAUUAGAAUGAAAUGUAAAUGCAAAUAAAAUAUCUGGCCUUUAAUAAACUCCGAUCAGUCGAGCAGUGGUUAGGAUGCGGUGUUAGUGUCCAGCGGUCUUCUCGGACUUCAGAGAACAUCUUCGCUUCAUCUCUGCAGGUUUUGGCUGAAUGAUCCGCGUCUCUGAAAGUCACUUUAGUGUUUCUUUGGCAGCAGUGAGUUAAAGUGACUGAAGGACAUGUGUGCUGCUUCUUCACCGCAAACUUCAACCUUUAAAGCCUUAAAACGGCCUGAAAUCAGACAGAAGGACAGUGAUUAACACUGUCCUAAAUGUACUGCAACAAGUCCACUAGCAGAUGUUACUGUAAAUAUUUACAUUUAUAUUUAGUCAUUUAGCAGGUGCUUUUACCCAAAGCGACUUACAAUGGAAGAUAUCAAACCAACACAAGAGCAACAAUAUGUAAAUGUGUUUUAUAAAUAAAAAGAAAACAAGUAGAUAGAAUAGAUAUAGAAUAGAGAGAGCUAGUGUUAGGGGGUCAAGUUAUUAUUUUUAAUAAAUAAAAAGAAAACAAGUAUAUAGAAUUGAAAAAGAAUUGAGAGAGCUAGUGUUACAGGGUCAAGUUAUUAUUUUUUAAUAAAUAAAAAGAAAACAAGAAGAUAGAAUA